UACGAAGGGGGCUAGCGUUGCUCGGAAUCACUGGGCGUAAAGGGUGCGUAGGCGGGUCUUUAAGUCAGGGGUGAAAUCCUGGAGCUCAACUCCAGAACUGCCUUUGAUACUGAGGAUCUUGAGUUCGGGAGAGGUGAGUGGAACUGCGAGUGUAGAGGUGAAAUUCGUAGAUAUUCGCAAGAACACCAGUGGCGAAGGCGGCUCACUGCCCGAUACUGACGCUGAGGCACGAAAGCGUGGG
rnacentral:rRNA from 1 species